GUACUUCUCGAAAGUGCAUAUAAAAUUGGAACGAUACAGAGAAAAUCAGCGUGGCCCCUGCGCAAGGAUGACACGCAAGAUCGUGAAGCGUUCUAAAUUUUU
rnacentral:snRNA from 1 species